rnacentral:rRNA from 1 species
ACAUACGACCAUAGGGUGUGGAAAACAGGGCUUCCCGUCCGCUCAGCCGUACUUAAGCCACACGCCGGUUGGUUAGUAGUUGGGUGGGUGACCACCAGCGAAUCCCAGCUGUUGUAUGUU